CCCUUAGAUGUUCUGGGCCGCACGCGCGCUACACUGAUGCAUUCAACGAGUUUUUCCUUGGCCGAGAGGCCUGGGCAAUCUUGUGAACGUGCAUCGUGAUAGGGAUAGAUUCUUGCAAUUAUUAAUCUUGAACGAGGAAUUCCUAGUAAACGCAGAUCAUCAAUCUGCAUUGAUUACGUCCCUGCCCUUUGUACACACCGCCCGUCGCACCUACCGAUUGAAUGGUCCGGUGAAGCCUCGAGAUUGUGGCUAGCUUGCUUCAUUGCGAGUUAGUUGCGAGAACUUGUCUAAACCUCAUCAUUUAGAGGAAGGUGAAGUCGUAACA
rnacentral:rRNA from 1 species